GAAGCGGAAGUGUUGGCAGGCGGGGGGCGUGUCUGCUGGUGUCCGCCGCGAGUCCUGGGUCCGGCCAUGGAGGGGACCAGCGAGCCGGUGCUGGAUGCUAGCUCCAGAGUCACCAACCAGCUUAUAGAUUUCCAGUGGAAACUUGGUAUGGCUGUGAGCUCGGACAGCUGCAGAUCUCUUAAGUAUCCUUAUGUUGCAGUGAUGCUGAAAGUAAUGGAUCCUGCAGGUCAAGUAAAGAGCAGAUCGUUUGAAAUGACAAUUCCACAGUUUCAGAAUUUCUACAGACAGUUCAAGGAAAUUGCUGCAGUUAUUGAAACUGUGUGAUGAUUAUCUCAUUGAUAAAUGAGCACCGAGCUUUGAAAAUGGUAGACUUCACUUUCUGCAACAGAACUGCAUAAGGAAUGUAUAUGGAAUAUCUGCUGUACUCCAGAUGUUUCACUCAUCACUUAAUACAAAGGCAGUUCCAUAGGAUCAACCGUCUGCUGGGAAAGUCAAACAUCUAAUAACUAUCACAAAAUCUAAUUGGCUAGUUCGUCAAUUUAAUCAUUUUGAAGGCUAAACAAAUCAAAUUAUGUAUGUGGCAUUGGGCAUAAAUUCUUCAUUAUACCAAAAUCCCCACUUUGCUGUGGACAUGUAACUCCUGCACUCUUUCCAAAUGAGAAUUCUACUUGUGUCAUCAUCAUCAUCAUCAUCAUCAUCAUCAUCAACCCUGCUUCACCAGCAGGUAAGAGGUAGGAAAACUGACUGACUUUGGGUUGGGUCUGUGGGUUUCUGUACAUUCUGCGUUUAAAUAUUGUGCAUCCAAUGGAAAAUGUACACUUGUAAAGGUGUGUUUUCUAAGUGUGGGAGGAUUUUCCAUGUGAUGGGGCUGGAUUGUUUCUGAUAGAGAUGUCUCUAGCUAUUUCCUUAGCUGAAAAUUAGUGGUAACAACUUCCAGUGUUGUUGUGACCAUCAGAUAUCACAUAUAAAGUACAGUAAAUCCUGAAGACAAUACUCUUAAGAAAUUUAAAUGAGAAGAAUGUUCAAUGAACAUGAAAUUUGAGAAUGGGAAAUUGUGCAAGCUCCAAGCAGCCAUCUGCAGCAUGAAAAUCUCUGCUCAGAACAACUAACAGCUAAUCAAUUUUGUCACUCCCUGCUACCGUGCUUAUGAGACACACUGACUAUGUCUCAAUUUUUGGCUGUCAUUUUCCAGUGUUAACUGCUUGCUCUUUCUUUGCUCAUAUACUCUUUCUUCAGUCAUAUUACAGAUUCAGUGUUCCUCUUUCACUUCUAUGCCAUCUUCGUACAUGGCUUAUCUGAAAAGUGCUGCAGUGUCUGGCAAUAAUACCUACAGUAAAAAGGGCAAGAAAAACACCUAAUAAAUCAGGCCAUUCUAAAAACAUCAACAGGAAAGGAAUAAGCACAAAGUGAGUUCCAGACAGAGAGCUCUGUACAGUGUACCAUACUGGACAACGAUGUGGGGUAGAUUGUAACUCAUCAAUUGAAGAUGAGUAUUCUGAAGUUCAAACAAAUAACAGCAAAUCAUUUUUUUUACUCAUUACAGUCACUGUGUAUGAAAGUAAGCAUAUAGUUCUAGAUAAUCCUACUUUAUUUAAGAGACCUGUGCCUGAGAUCCUUCCUAACACAGAUGUCACAGACAAUAUCCUGUCACCAGUAAAAGAGAAUUUCUCAUCAAUGGCUUGCAACGUUGGUUACAAUGUUGUAAUCACAAUAAAACAAACUGUAACCAAAUGUUAGUUUCUUGAAUUGCAAAGUUUAGACUUGAUUAGUAACACAUUUAUGUACUCUUUAUUUUCUUGGAGCACAAAUGACUGAAUCCCGAGUUAAUGAUUCCAAGUAGCUCAAGGGAAGGCCACUGGUCUUGAAAACCACGGUAAGUUUUGGUAAUUCUAUCAGCUGUGCUGAUAGGACUCAAGUACAAUUGAAUUCAGUGGAAAGAGACAGCCAUAAAGGGAAAGGAGAGGGGCCCGAACUACAGGCGACACCAGCUGCCAGUUUCCAAGUGUGCCAGUGGAGUCACAGAGGACAUGCUUCAUUCUUCAACAAGUUGUGACACAGUGUGUGAAAUGUGCCACCCACAGGCAUUAGCAGGGAAUUGGAUCCUAAGUGAAACAGCUGAAAUUCACUCACAUGGGAUGCAGGCACCAUAGGGAGAGAAGUAACCAAUUAUGCCAUCCCGCUGGUCCUGAACCUUGCCUUUCAAAUCAAUAAGCAAAUUUUUAAAAAAUGAUAAAUAGUCAUGCCUGAAAUGUUAACUUCUUUGUACAAGGACAACAAGAAUAAAAAUUCUGGCGGUAUCCUGCUAUGUAGCUUUAUAUAUAUUACUGCAAAAACUAACUACUCUUGGGUUAUUUCAUUAAUAUUAAUCUAUCGUGAAUUAUAUUGAAUGGAGAAUGCUAGCAUAAAUUUUGCCUGUACAUCCUGUACAUUCUACUAUGUUUAUUAAGAACUUUAGAAUUUAAAUAUUAAAACAUUUCAGACUUGAAUAUUUGUUAUGUGUGUCAUCAGUUAAAUGAAAACUUUAUUUCAUGUGACAUUUUCAUAUGAGUGUGCUGAUUUUAGUACCAUGUAAAUUUGAUAAGGGAGCUAUUACAGCUGUUGAUUUAACCACUGCUCCACAGCACACAGAAAUACUAAGUAUAAUAGAUUGCAUAUCUUAAUGGACUUGCUCUUGAUUUAUGUUCCUUCGAAUUACAGGUGUCCCAGGAGAAAAAGGCUAUUAAUCCUUUGACUAGUUACUAUUUUAGCACAGGAGGAACAUUUGUUAAGGAAAAGCACUUACAUGUCUUACUGUAUUUCAUAUUCCUGCACCAAGGAGAAGAGCAAAGAAAUGUUCCAUGUGCCAUUAAAAAAUCAUUAUUAUCAAGAAAAGACUAGCAAGAGGUAGGGAAAUCUCACAUUCUAUUUUAGUAUUUGUGCUGCCAAAGCGAGCACAGAUCUCAGAUUCUAAACCAUAAUAAGGCAAGCAAUAGGUUUGAGGAGCUCAGGCAGAAAUUAACAUUCUGACCCAGAAGGGUCAAGGCUGAUGGUAAACCCACAUCCGAUUCAGAGCUUUUGAGUCAUAUACUAGGUACUGUUAGACCUUUGUUUUGAGCAAAAUAAACAGCCACCCACAAGUAACCCUAAGACUGACCAAAGCUCGCUUUGUUGCAAUCAAAAUCCCCCCAAAACACAAUAUUUCUGAUCAGUCAAAGGAGGACCUUUUACUAAUGCGUGUCCUAGGAAGGAGCAGGUGAUGACUCCCUGGUUGGGUCUCUGCUUUCUCACGCAUGACCUAGACAGAAUUUGAGGUUCUAGGCUUUAGGCUAGACCAUCUCUGGUUGCUGCUGGCAUUUUGUGAGUGAACCAGAGAAUGGAAGAUCUCUGUUCUCUCUGUCUUGCUGCCUUUCAAAGAAAUGAAAGUAACAAUUUUAAACAUUGAAAAUACAGUGGAACUAAUACAAACAUAAUCACACUAAAACAUCAAAUAUACAAAUAUGAUAGAAAUAUAUUAUUC